GUGAGUCCAUUUGCGUGUCAUUGUUGUUGAUAGUGUCAAAGCCACAGCCUACGCUUCUGCCUCUGUGAUUGCCAGCCAGGGACAAUAAACUGGUGUCAUCUCAGAUAUUGUAUGUCGUUUGUGUUUAGUGUAGGGGCGGCAGGAAGCCUAGCGCCAGUUAGCCUAGCGGUUAGAGCAGGUAGCCUUGUGGUUAGAGCAGGUAGCCUAGUGGCAGGUAGCCUAGCGGUUAGAGCAGGUAGCCUAGCGGUUAGAGCAGGUUACCUAGUGGUUAGAGGCAGGUAGCCUAGUGGUUAGAGCAGGUAGCCUAGUGGUUAGAGGCAGGUAACCUAGUGGUUAGAGCAGGUAGCCUAGUGGUUAGAGCAGGUAGCCUAGUGGUUAGAGGCAGGUAGCCUAGUGGUUAGAGGCAGGUAGCCUAGUGGUUAGAGGCAGGUAGCCUAGUGGUUAGAGGCAGGUAGCCUAGUGGUUAGAGCAGGUAGCCUAGUGGUUAGAGCAGGUAGCCUAGUGGUUAGAGGCAGGUAGCCUAGUGGUUAGAGGCAGGUAGCCUAGUGGUUAGAGGCAGGUAACCUAGUGGUUCGAGCAGGUAGCCUAGUGGUUAGAGGCAGGUAGCCUAGUGGUUAGAGGCAGGUAGCCUAGUGGUUAGAGCAGGUAGCCUAGUGGUUAGAGCAGGUAGCCUAGUGGUUAGAGGCAGGUAGCCUAGUGGUUAGAGGCAGGUAGCCUAGUGGUUAGAGCAGGUAGCCUAGUGGUUAGAGGCAGGUAGCCUAGUGGUUAGAGGCAGGUAGCCUAGUGGUUAGAGGCAGGUAACCUAGUGGUUAGAGGCAGGUAGCCUAGUGGUUAGAGGCAGGUAGCCUAGUGGUUAGAGGCAGGUAGCCUAGUGGUUAGAGGCAGGUAGCCUAGUGGUUAGAGCAGGUAACCUAGUGGUUAGAGGCAGGUAACCUAGUGGUUAGAGCAGGUAGCCUAGUGGUUAGAGCAGGUAGCCUAGUGGUUAGAGCAGGUAGACUAGUGGUUAGAGCAGGUAGCCUAGUGGUUAGAGCAUGUAGCCUAGUGGUUAGAGGCAGGUAGCCUAGUGGUUAGAGCAGGUAGCCUAGUGGUUAGAGCAGGUAGCCUAGUGGUUAGAGCAGGUAGCCUAGUGGUUAGAGCAGGUAGCUUAGUGGUUAGAGACAGGUAGCCUCGUGGUUAGAGACAGGUAGCCUAGUGGUUAGAGGCAGGUAGCCUAGUGGUUAG
rnacentral:lncRNA from 1 species